GUAAAACAUUGCCCCAGCAUAUAUUGAAAGCGCUAUCCUAUAUCCAAGGUAUGCUUUUCUCAGAAGCAAUGUAGCAGAGUUCUGCAUGCAAUGUAGCAA